UUAUAUUUGUUUCUCUUCCUAAUUGCUCAACAUUUACAUCCCUUGUAACAGUAAAUGAACAACCUGCUUAUGAUUCCAAGAUAUACUGUUCAUCAUCGUUGUGCUUGGUGGGCACAAUAACCUGAUCACAUUGACUACUUCGACAAACUUGCUCAGAAUUUGAGUUUCAAUUCAAAGGAAAACUUCUCUUUAUCAUUUUAACUGUAAUCACUUCUUGGCCACUAGAUUCGAAAGCAACACAACUUUUGUCUUUGAACAAUAACAUAUAAUCUUGUUCUAGAAUUUGAACAACACUCAGUAGAUUUUGGUCAAGAUCAGGUACUAAUAAAACAUCUUGAAUAAAUUUAGUACCUUUGGGAGCUUCAAUUGCCACAGUUCCUUUACCGACAAUCUCCAACUUGGUUUUAUCCGCCAACUUGACACUACCUUUGGAAGAUUCUAAUUUCAUAAUAUUCUUGUUUGCUUGUCAUGUGUUGAGUGCAACCACUGUCCAAAAACCAUGUAUUUUCAUCAUUCAAUCUUGUUGCUGCCAUCGGCAUAAACACAAACUCCUUCUGUUCUUCAACUUUCGAAACGUUGGUUUUUUGCGUUUUGUUGGUUGUUCUCCUUCUUCACUCUGCAAAACCUUUCAAUAUAACCAAGUUUAUUGCAAUAUCUACACUGGAGAGGUGGUUUCUUCCUCUUAAAACAACAAUCAUCCUCUUUAUGAUUGAUUUUUCUACAAUACUUGCAUGGAGGAAAGCUUUCUCUCUUCUUGACUCCAUUGCGAGAAUCGCCUUGAUUAUUUCUACUAGAAAAGUAGAAGUUUCUGGGAUUGUACCUUCUUCUUGCAUCUGCAUCUUCCCUUUGAACUUGGAUUGAAGAGCAGUUUCAGUAGCUUCUUCUAGUGAUACAAGAAUAACAAGGACAACACGAAACAUACUUUAAAAUUAGUCCACAAGAUCAAAGAUCCGAGGACCCUUGCAUAUUCUUGUGCCCUCGAGGUGACCAAGUCUUGAGCCUUUAAAUGAUGACCUCCAAUCAUGUCUUCAAAAAUUAAGGUGGCCAUUUGACUUGUAUCAUCCUUCCCUUCUUGAAAAGGAUUCGACCUCGAAUCCAAACCUUGUAAGAACAAAGAGAAGACAAACAAGCACCACAUCCUCAUGACAUGAGGGUUAGAGUUAGUACAAUAAACAACAUCAACAUGCCAAGGAGGUACAUACUUAAGAUAUAACCACACGUCCUUUGUUGUAAUCACGAGGGACUUAGAAAAAAAUUACAAAGGAGUUGGCGAAAGGAAUCACCAUCAAGGGGUGGUGUCCUAAUUGAAAGUAAAGUCCACCUAACACAUAUAACAAUAUAACUCAAACAAGUGGACCGACCAAGAACUAUCCAUCCUUCACACCCUAAGAAGUUACCGGGAUCGAAUGGGAGACGUAACCAAGGGCUUAGGUCUCGGCCACUCUCACUUUCCCCUAGGGUGUCAUCCUCGAAAUUAGGCAAGCCCUCUUUAUCACUAUUGAAAAUAUCAUGAAAUAAAAGAGGGUUGAGAAAGAUGUUCCAUAAGUCAACUUCAAAUUAAGGGUUCCCAUGCAUGCACUUACUGCUAGUUUCAAAAUUUCCACUAGGAAUAUGCCCAACAUAAAAAGCACAUAAAGACGAAGUAGAUGGCAUUUCUAAGUAUAUAUCACCUUCUCUUUCAUAAGAGUUGUCCUCACAUACGUACAAAUCAUCACGGGAAGCCAAAGGACCAUAAUCAAAAUCAUCUUAACAAAGACAAUCACAACUCGGGUUUUCUAAAUAUUCAAGCAAAUCAAGAUCAUCUAUGCCCGGUUGAUCAUUUUGCUUACCCUCACUAGUUAUACCCGUGGCACGGUAUUGACACCCCUCUAGUCGGGGCAGAGAUUGGACCCUAGCUUUGCUAUAACGGCAUACAUGGGGCAUGUCUGUUAAACACUACUUCCCACAAUUUCAGUACUAGUCUCAGUAAAAUAACUCAGGAAGUUCUUCAGAUUUCUGUAUAUACAGGACUGUCAAAUACAGUCGUCUAUGUUAUUAGUUUUAGUAUCAGUCAUGACAGUUAUCANNNNNNNNNNNNNNNNNNNCAACUACGUUCAUAUGAGUGUAGGGGAUAACAUUUUUACCUCGUACCUCACAUGAGCUACGGUCUUCAUCUUGACGUGUGUCCGGGUAGCCCACUUGCUCCCUUGGAACUCCCAUAUGAUCCAACCUUUAAUUUAUCACUUCCCAUUGAUGGGUAAUGGCUUCAAGUUUAGCCAAAAUUGCACUUGCAGCCAUGGGUUCCAUCGUAAUUGCACCUAAAAAAAGAAAAGAAUAAGUCUACAAAUAAAACACAAGUUAGUUCAAAACAACCUCACCAUACUCUCUCACACUUGAUCGUUUCACACUUGGAUUCACAAGUGUUGCAAGUCGGCUUGUAGUUCGUGAUGAGUCGAAGGGUGAGUCUACUCCUUGGUCAGAAUGGAUUCUUUGUUUGAAGACUCAAGGAAAUAAUGUCUGAACUUGAACCAAGAAAUUCUACGAUUCAAAAACAAGAAAAUCACAAAAUAACGCUAACACGAACAAACGGGAACAGAAACUAACUAACAAGAUAGUAGGAGAUUACUAGGUCGUCAAUUAGUGUUUAAACCAACAAACGAAACUAAGAAACAAUAAAUAAGAAAUCUAAAAGUUGAACUCAAAAUGUUGCAUGAACAGUAAUUUAGUGUGUGGCAGUCCACUAUUGGCCUCGGUUUUGUCAAAAUUUUACCCUCUAAUUUCAAGUCUUGACCAAUCUACAAUUUGAAAAUGGUAUAUUUGGUUAAUGGAGGGAAAUUUGGUCUUGGAGAUUCAUUUUCAAGUUCAAAGCAAGACUUGACCUUCUUGGUACUUUCUCCUUGAAACAAGGUCCUUAAAUCAAGAAAAGUAGGUGAAAAGUGGUUGUCAAGUCUUUUGAGUGAUGUGAUGAAGUCUUUCACCAACAAGUACUACAACUUGGUCUUUCACCUUUUGUGGAUCUAAUGUUCACUUUUGUUUUAACAAAAGAUGAAAAGGGUGAAGAACAACAAGAACACAAUAACAACACCAAGAACAACAACAAUAUUCUCCAAGAACAACAACUAAUUCCAAUGCCCAACUCCACAACAACAAGGCCUUCAACAUGGUCAAGGCUUAGAAUGACAACAACAUCAAAUCAACCACACUUUGUUCACAUUAACAACAUCAACAAGUUCAAGUUCAAGCUUAGAUUUGGACACUUUUAAGUGUUGGUGAGAAAGAAACCAACACUAGAAACACUCUAAACAACAAAAGACUACAAGAUCUAGUCACAAAGAAACAUGUCUCAGCCAAGACAACCACAAGAACAACAAAUUUCUCGGCCAAGAUCUCAAGCUCAAGAACACGUCUUUCUUUAUUUUUUUAUUUUUUUAUUUUCUUAGCAAGAAAGUCCAAGAUUGAUAUUGUAAGAACAAAAUCAAAGAUAGCUUUGAUACCAAAUGAUACAAGAAUUACAAGGACAACACAAAGCACACUUCAAAAUCAGUCCACAAGAUCAAAGAUCCGAGGACCCUUUUGAAGACCACACUCGGAUUCAACAAACAACAACAAGAACACAAUGUAUUGAUGUGUUUAUCACCUAAAACCAGAUAACAACAAACUAUGUUAACAACAACAAGAUGAAGAACAACAACAAUGGAACAAGAACAACGAGUCACAGAUUUGAAUUACAAGAACACAAACAAACAAUUACAACAUAAACAAAAUGGCUAGAUAGUUAGACCUUGGUUGGUAUAAUCUUAAGAAUCCAAGAAUAUGGUAAUCUUGGACCCUUAACACUACACACAAUGGUUAACAAACUCCUACAUUGACACAAAAGGAACUUUACUUUCUCUAAACACUAACGUCUCAAGCCAACAUUGCAACACAAGUGAUAUCCACACUUGUUGCCCUCAUUUUGGUGUGGUGGCUAUUCCAAGCCCUAUAACUAAAGGUGUUUCAUGUUUCAAGUCUUACAUCAAUGAACAACUAAUGAGAAAAAGACCUAAAAUAUUCUAUUUAUAUUCUAUUAUAAGACAAGGCAAAAUAACAACAAUGCCCUUAAAGAGUGGGGUGGCCAUAAAAUGCAUUUGGACCCAAUGAAGUGACCAAAAUACCCUUAAUGAAGAUGAACAAAUCAUAACCCAUUAAUUGUUGUCCAAAAUCGUGAGUCCUCAAGUCUUCGAUGCUCCAAGCAAUCUUCCACACGCGUCCUUGCUUGUGUUCAAAAUGGGUCUUCCUUGCAUAUUCUUGUGCCCUCAGGGUGACCAAGUCUUGAGCCUUUAAAUGAUGACCUCCAAUCAUGUCUUCAAAAAUUAAGGUGGCCAUUUGACUUGUAUCAUCUAGACUUAUGGAUCUUCUUUGCUAUUGAGAUUGAAGAGCAUGUACAAGUUCUGAAGGUGACAGUUUUGUGAGAUCCUUCGAAUCUUCGAGUGUGUGGAGAUCUUUGCUUCAAAUUUUUCCGGUAAACUCACAAGAACCUUUUCCACAAUUCUUGAAUCUGUAAGCUUUUCUCCCAUAAGUCUGAUUUGGUUUACAACCUUAUCAACUUGUUGGAGAAUUCUUCAAUAGUUACUGAAUCAUUCAUUCUGAGAAUUUCAAACUCUCUUAGAUUUAUCACUUUUAAUUACCUUUCUAAGCCUCCUUUCCAGUCUCACUCGCCAUAACUCUUGCAAAAAUUACUUCCGAAGGUGCUGAUUGUCUGCAAGGGAGAGCUUUAAAGUUUUUUGCAACCUCUUCUCUGUGAUUCUUAAUUUUGCGCCAUAGUUGAAUUGUCUGGCAAAGGAUUUACCUCUUCUCCAACCAUAGAUAAUAUGCUCACAAGUAUGUUCUCAUCUUGACAGCCCAAAUUGGAUAAUUCUCACCAGAAAAAAUGGGGGGCGAAGGAAUUGAAAAAUUGUUGGAAGCCAUAACAAUAUUGAAUUUUUCACAGGGUUAUUUUUUUUGGGGUCUUCUCUUUCACAAAUCCCUCAAGAAAUUGGCUCUUGAUACCAAUUGUGGUUCUACAGACUACAGAGAAGAAGAAAAUAGUUGAGGGUAAAAAAUAUUCUUCUUAUUUAUUCAUUCACAUAUGAAAAUAUAAAUAGACAAAAGACUCCUAUUCUAUUUCUAACUAGGAAACUAAUAAAAUCCUAUUCUAUCUUCAACUAGGAUACUAAUAAAAUCCUAUUCUAUUUCAACUAAAUAACUGAAUUUUAGAAAUAUUAUUACUAAACCAAAAAUAAAAAUAACAGCAAAUAACUCAAUACUUAAACGGUAUGACAAUAUUAAGGCAUUAUUGAAUUGGCUAGUUUAAGCAUAGAAAUGAAACACACAGAAAAGUUAAUAGUUCAGGCAUAAACCAACAGUUAAUAUUCAAUGCCUUCACGAUUCUCCCAAGACAGGUAGACAAUUGAGAAGAUUUUCCUAAGCCUCUUUAGGCCUGUCUAUUGGAUCUCCACACCUAGAAAGCUCUAUAAGUGCAUCCUCCAACUGUAGGUACAAUUUGAUACGUCUUUGUUUACCAAACCCUUUCCCCAUGCAAAAAUUUGGAUAGGUCUAUCCAUCUGUAAUUUCACAUUGGCGUCUUUCUCUAGCUGCAAGCAGUACUUAUCAAAGCUCGUUUUUCUCUAGCUGCAAGCAGUACUUAUCAAAGCUCUCAACACUUACGUGCAGUCGGAAAUUAAGGGCUGCCAAGAGUUUUAUCUCCAGCUUGUUCAGUUCUGCUGUGGUUGUUGUAGCAGCUAAAAAAAGACAAAAACUUCGAUACAUUAGCAAUGAGCUUUUGUGAAAAUUAGAACGAGUAUGGCUAGAAUACUUACUCAUCGUCAACAAACUUGACAUCCAACAUGAUGCUAGUGAUUAGAAGCCGGUGAACAUUAAGAGACAUCAGUAAACAACCAGUCAGGUUGAGGAAUCUCUCCAAGUAUACAUAUGCAACCACGAAAAGAGAAGGGCUGCAGUCGGAGUACUUAAAAAUGCGUUCAAUGUACUGUUGAACUGUCAAGACAGGGGCUCUUGUGCGAUGAAACACAGUUAGAUGACAUAGUGGCUUCUUUCGAUUUUAGUAGUGCUAAAAUUUAUGUUCUAGUUGGUUCAAGUGUGAAUCUAUUCUUUGCUGUCAUCAUGUCAAGCAUUUCCAUAUGAAUCCACACACAAAACCUAUUGACUUUUACCCUACAAUUAUUUAACUUUGCUCACUGGAACAAUGUUCUCGAUAAAGAAAAUUGUUGGGAUUUAUUUCUAACCUACAUCAAUGGCCAGCUCUUGGGUUAUCCAAGUCAACAAAUUUCCUUUGAAUAUCUGACAAAAAAGAUAUACCUGUGAUGUGUUUUGUGUGGCAAACAACCUUCCCGAGUUUAGAAGCCAGCAAGCCUACAAGCUCUUUUGUAUUAGCAAACUACCAAAUGGCUGGUGCUAGAAGUUUUCAGGGGAAUGAUCUAGUAGUAGAUUGGAAUGAGCACCCUUCUGCUUGUAGAAUAAAUUUCACGUCCUUUUAGUUUGGCACCCAGCUAGGACGGUUGGCUUGAGUUCAUAGUAAUUUAUACUUGAAGGUGGUAUGGUUCACACGUGGAGAGUAAAACUCUAUUCGUACUCGAGCACUCUAAAUUUUACCUUUUGUCCAGAUGCUUUGUCAUCUUCUAUUUGCUCGACAUGCAAUUCUAACUCUAUUGCUGUAACAGUUGGGGCUGCUGUGGGAUUGGCAGCUUACCGUGUUUAUGCUGCCUGGAAGAAUGCAUCAAGUUGAGAUGGUGUGAAGCAAAAUAUGCAAGUCAUGGUUGUUGGGUUUAUAGUAUAUGAAAGAAGUGUGAAUGAAAAAAUGGAGAAUAAAAUAGUGGAGGGGAAGGAGACUAAAAUGGAACGUGUACUCCCAAUUAGAAAGUUUACUCUUUCUCCCACAUUGGUGGAAGAAGAGAACUUGAAAGUGUUUAUAAUCAAGAACACUUACUCCACAUGGCAAGUAAGGCAAGAAAUAAUAGAUGCCUUGCGCCGUCAUCGGCGUCACUCGGCUUUGGAUUUGGAUUUGGCAAAUGAUCAAUUGAUGAGAUCUAUCUUUUUGGACAAACUUUAUUUGAAUUCCGAAGCUUUGGAUUUGGCAAAUGAUAGAUCAAUGAGAUCUAUGUUUUUGGACAAACUUUAUUUGAAUUUUGAAGAAUGCCAAGGAAAAAUGCAGUAAAAACCAAUUGCACUGUUUCAAGUGAACUGAUGCUGCAUUGUUUUCGAACUAGUGCUUCAGAAAUGAUACAUUGUUCUGAACUGAGGUUGCAAUGGUUCGAAAUGAUGCUUCAGAAGGAUGUAAUCCUUCAAUGAAGUGACACACUAAUUCAUGAAAUGAGAUGACUGUUCAGGAAAAGAUACAAUCUUUGAUGAACAAACAUGAACUUACAGCAAAGGUGUAACCUUUGGAGUGAACCAUUGCCUCUUUUCAGAAGAGGCAUGUUGUGGCUAUAUAAACCUGGUUUUUUUCCACAGAUUUAGUAUGAAAUUUUCAGAUUAAAAACUCUCUUCUUUUCUCAAAUAUAUUCUAUGUGAUCACUCAAAACUUUCUGUGAGUUCGAAGAUAUUCCAACCAUUUGAGGUACCGCUAUUGUUGGUCUGUUAGCCAUUUUAUCCAGGAAGGAAAAAUUUCACAACCUCGGGUACAGUGAGGGGGGUUAUUUCCUUAGGAAAAAUCUGUGAAUUUGGAUGACUUGGCUAUUUUCUGUUUCAUCUUAAUUUCAGCAAAAUAAAAUACACCUCUUGGAAAGGUCAUUUUGAUCUUGUGUUGAGGGUAUUUGAUAUACUUCAUUGUGUUCUUAUUUAUACUUGAACUCAAGUUGAAGUUGGUGUUGUAAUACACAGAUUCUGUGUACCCGAAGUACAAACAAAAUAACAAUCAUAUGGAAAUAAUUAAUUCUUCAGAAUCUGUAUAACUUAUUUUUGGAGAUUAAAGCUUUAAGCUUUCUACUCCGCUUGAAUUUAACUAGUGAUUAGAAGACAUAAAAUCUUCAUCACAAGUUAAAGUUCACUCGGUUGACGAUUUAAAGUUAUAAAAACUUCAUCGUUAAUUAGAAACAAGAAGAAAAGUUGAAAAGUUAUUUAACUUUAUAAGUAGUAUUCUGAAAAUACUAAAUUUUUAUGUCUUAUGUUGAAAGGAAAGAUGACUAACGAAAGUCAAAUGAUGGAUGCGACAACGUCUGUGGGGGCAACUAGUAUUGCCAUAUCAAGUCACACAAAUGCUCCGCCAACAAUGGCACCGGCGGAGAAGCCCAAAAAAUUUUUGGACAUUGACUUCAAGCGGUGGCAGCAAAAGAUGUUCUUAUACCUCAUCACUUUAUGUCUGCAAUGGUUCACUAGCGAAGACGCUCCGAGGUACCCUAGGAAACCUCAGACAAAGAUCGCUUCGUUAUUGUAGAAGCUUGGAAACAUUUGGACUUCCUUUGCAGGAAUUAUAUUUUGAGUGGUCUCCAAGACAACCUCUACAAUAUUUAUAGUGGAAACAAGACAUCAAAGGAACUGUGGGGGCACUUGAAUGAAAAUAUAAGACGGAGGAUGCGGGAAUCAAGAAAUUUCUUGUUACACGGUUCCUGGACUUCAAAAUGAUAGAUAGGAAAUCUGUUGUCUCUCAAGUACAGGAGUUGAAAGUCAUCAUACAUGAUCUCCUAGCUGAAGGUUUAAUUGUGAAUGAUUCUUUUCAAGUAGCAACGAUAGUUGAGAAGCUACCACCUUUGUGGAAAGACUUCAAAAACUACUUAAAUCAUAAACGUAAGGAGAUGACUGUUGAAGAUCUUAUUGUUCAACUUCGUAUUGAAGAGGAUAAUAAAGCUGCCGAAAGAAGGUCAAAGGGGAAUUCUACAAUUAAUGGAGCACAUAUUGUAGAAGAUGACCAAAACAAUUCCAAGAAAAGAAAGAACACUGAACAAGGAAGCAAUUAACCCAAGAAAAAGUUCAAGGGAAAAUGCUUCAACUGUGGCAAGAUUGGCCACAAGUCCACAAAUUGUCGUGCCCCAAAGAAAGGCAAGAAGAAGAAUCAAGAAAAUAAGAUUAAAUCCAACAAAGAAUGUGAUGAUCUGUGUGCUAUGUUCUCAGAAUGCAACUUGACGGGGAAUCCUCGUUAAUAGUGGAUGUAUUCUGGUGCCACCCACCAUGUAUGUUCCAACAAGGAGUUGUUUUCAUUAUUUACUCCAGCUCAAGCAGAUGAAAUGAUAUACAUGGCUAACUCCGCUACUGCUAAGGUGGCGGGAAUAGGAAAACUUUUCUUAAAGAUGACUUCCGACAAGGUCUUGACACUGAACAAUGUGUUAUCUGUACCGGAGUUACGUAGGAACUUAAUUUCUAUUUCACUCCUAGAUAAGAACGGAUUCAAAUGUGUAAUCNNNNNNNNNNNNNNNNNNNNNNNNNNNNNNNNNNNNNNNNNNNNNNNNNNNACCGAAGGCCUUUAUAAGAUGAAUGUAAUGACUGUUAAAAUAAAUAAAAGUUUGAAUUCUUCUUAUUUGCUUAAGUCUUAUGAUUUAUGGCAUGAACGUUUAGGCCAUGUUAAUUACAAAACGUUACGAGAACUGAUUAACUUAGAAGUUUUACAAAACUUUGAGUGCAAUAAAUCAAAGUGUUAAACGUAUGUGGAAUCGAAGUAUGCAAAACAUCCUUAUAAGUUCAUUGAAAGGAAUUCCAAUUCCUUAGACUUAAUACAUACUGACAUUUAUGAAAUGAAGUCAACACCAUCACGUGGUGGGAAAAAGUAUUUCAUAACUUUUUUUGACGAUUGCACUAGAUAUUGUUAUGUCUACUUGCUAAAUAGUAAGGAUGAAGCAAUGGAUGCGUUUAGGCAAUAUAAAACUGAAGUUGAAAAUCAGUUAAACAAAAAGAUCAAAAUGAUAAGAAGUGAUAGGGGCGGAGAAUAUGAAUCUCUCUUUGCACAAAUAUGUGAAGAGAAUGGAAUAAUCCAUCAAACUAAGGCCCUAUAUUCACCUUCAUCUAAUUGAAUUAUGAAAAGGAAAAACCAAACUUUGAAGUAAAUGAUGAAUGCCUUACUUAUAAGUUCUGGUUUACCGCAAAACUUAUGGGGGGAGGCUAUCCUUACAGCCAAUCGAAUACUCAACAGAGUACCCCAUAGUAAGACACAAUCAAUUCCUUACAAAAAAUGGAAAGGAAGGAAACUCAACUUGAAAUAUUUCAAAGUGUGGGGAUGUCUAUAGAAUGUUCAAGUUCCUAUACCUAAAAGGAUUUGGAUAGGACCUAAAAUGGUGGACUGCGUGUUCAUAGAAUAUGCUAAAAGUAGUAAAGCAUGUCGAUUUUUGUUUCAUAAAUUCGAACAUCCGGAUAUUAAUGAAAAUACGGUAAUUGAACCAGAUAAUGCCGAAUUCUUUGAAAACAUUUACCCAUAUAAACUUAGACAUGAACAAUCUAGUGGAGGAUCUAAACGACCUCAUGAUGAACCAAUUGAGAAUGAACAUAAUGAAGAAAAUCCAAGACGUAGUACAUGUCAAAGAACGUAUACUUCAUUUGGAUCGGGUUUUGUGAGAUUUCUUUUGGAAAAUGAGCCUCAAACAUUUAAGGAAGCGAUGACAUCUUCGGAUUCAUCCUUUUGGAAAGAGGCAGUUGUGGCUAUAUAAACCUGUUUUCUUCCACAGGUUUAGUAGAAAAUUUUCAGAUUAAAAACUCUUUUCUUGUCUAAAAAUAUUCCGUGUGAUCACUCUAAAUGUUCUGUGAGUUCGAAGAUAUUCCAAACAUUUGAGGUACCGCUAUUGUUGGUCUAUUAGCCAUUUUAUCCUGGGAGGAAAAAUUACACAACCUCGGGUACAGUGAGAGGAAUUAUUUCCUUAAGGAAAAUCCGUGAAUUCGAAUGACUUGGCUAUUUUCUGUUUCAUCUUAAUUUCUGCAAAAUAAAAUACACCUCUUGGAAAGGUCAUUUUGAUCUUGUGUUGAGGGUAUUUAAUAUACUUCAUUGUGUUCUUGUUUAUACUUGAACUCAAGUUGAAGUUGGUGUUGUAAUAUACAGAUUCUGUGUACCCAAAGUAUAAACAAAAUAACAAUCUUAAGGAAAUAAUUAAUUUUACAAAAUCUGUAUAACUUGUUUUUGGAGAUUAAAGCCUUAAGCUUUCUACUCCGCUUGAAUUUAACUAGUGAUUAGAAGACAUAAAAUUUUCAUCACAAGUUAAAGUUCACUCGGUUGACGAUUUGAAGUUAUAAAAACUUAAUUAGAAACAAGAAGAAAAGUUGAAAAGUUAUUUAACUUUAUAAGUAGUAUUCUGAAAAUACUAAAUUUUUCUGUCUUGUGUUGACCGGAAAGAUGACUAACGAAAGUCAAAUGAUGGAUGCAACAACAUUUGUGGGGGCAACUAGUAUUACCACAUCAAGUCGCACAAAUGCUCCGCCAACAAUGGCACCGGCGGAGAAGCCCAAAAAAAUUUUGGGCAUUGACUUUAUGUGGUGGCAGCAAAAGAUAUUCUUUUACCUCACCACUUUAUGUCUGCAAUGGUUUACUAGCGAAGAUGCUCCUGAGGUACCCGAGGGAACGUCAGACAAAGAUUGCUUCGAUAUUGUAGAAGCUUGGAAACAUUCGGACUUCCUUUGCAGGAAUUAUAUUUUGAGUGGUCUCCAAGACAACCUCUACAAUGCUUAUAGUGGAACCAAGACAUCAUAGGAACUGUGGGGGGAACUUGAAUGAAAAUAUAAGACGGAGGAUGCGGGAAUUAAGAAAUUUCUUGUUGUACGGUUCCUGGACUUCAAAAUGAUAGAUAGGAAAUCUGUUGUCUCUCAAGUACAGGAGUUGAAAGUCAUCAUACAUGAUCUCCUAGCUGAAGGUUUAAUUGUGAAUGAUUCUUUUCAAGUAGCAACGAUAGUUGAGAAGCUACCACCUUUGUGGAAAGACUUCAAAAACUACUUAAAUCAUAAACGUAAGGAGAUGACUGUUGAAGAUCUUAUUGUUCAACUUCGUAUUGAAGAGGAUAAUAAAGCUGCCGAAAGAAGGUCAAAGGGGAAUUCUACAAUUAAUGGAGCACAUAUUGUAGAAGAUGACCAAAACAAUUCCAAGAAAAGAAAGAACACUGAACAAGGAAGCAAUUAACCCAAGAAAAAGUUCAAGGGAAAAUGCUUCAACUGUGGCAAGAUUGGCCACAAGUCCACAAAUUGUCGUGCCCCAAAGAAAGGCAAGAAGAAGGAUCAAGAAAAUAAGAUUAAAUCCAACAAAGAAUGUGAUGAUCUAUGUGCUAUGUUCUCAGAAUGCAACUUGACGGGGAAUCCUCGUGAAUAAUGGAUGGAUUCUGGUGCCACCCGCCAUGUAUGUGCCAACAAGGAGUUGUUUUCAUCAUUUACUCCAGCUCAAGCAGAUGAAAUGAUAUACAUGGCUAAAUCCGCUACUGCUAAGGUGGCGGGAAUAGGAAAGCUUUGCUUAAAGAUGACUUCCGACAAGGUCUUGACACUGAACAAUGUGUUAUCUGUACCGGAGUUACGUAGGGACUUAAUUUCUAUUUCACCCUAGAUAAGAACGGAUUCAAAUGUGUAAUCAUUUCUGAAAAAAUUGUAAUUAGCAAAGGAGAAAUGUAUGUAGGAAAAGGCUAUCUGACCGAAGGCCUCUGUAAGAUGAAUGUAUUGACUGUUGAAAUAAAUAAAAGUUUGAAUUCUUCUUAUUUGCUUAAGUCUUAUGAUUUAUGGAAUGAACGUUUAGGCCAUGUUAAUUACAAAACGUUACGAAAACUGAUUAACUUAGAAGUUUUACAAAACUUUGAGUGCAAUAAAUCAAAGUGUCAAACUUGUGUAGAAUCGAAGUAUGCAAAUCAUCCUUAUAAGUUCGUUGAAAGGAAUUUCAAUUCCUUAGACUUAAUACACGCUGACAUUUGGGAUAUGAAUCAACACCAUCACGUGGUGGGAAAAAAUAUUUUAUAACUUUUAUUGACGAUUGCACUAGAUAUUGUUAUAUCUACUUGCUAAAUAGUAAGGAUGAAGCAAUGGAUACAUUUAGACAAUAUAAAACUAAAGUUGAAAAUCAGUUAGACAAAAAGAUCAAAAUGAUAAGAAGUGAUAGGGGAGGAGAAUAUGAAUCUCCCUUUGCGCAAAUAUGUGUAGAGAAUUGAAUAAUCCAUCAAACUACGGCCCUAUAUUCACCUCAGUCUAAUGGAAUUACGGAAAGGAAAAAUUAAACUUUGAAAGAAAUGAUGAAUGCCUUACUUAUAAGUUUUGGUUUACCGCAAAACUUAUGGGGGGAGGCUAUCCUUACGGCCAAUCGUAUACUCAACAGAGUUCCCCAUAGUAAGACACAAUCAAUUCCUUACGAAAAAUGGAAAGGAAGGAAACCCAACUUGAAAUAUUUUGAAGUGUGGGGGUGUCUAGCAAAGUUUCAAGUUCCUAUACCUAAAAAGGUUAAGAUAGGACCUAAAAUGGUAGACUACGUGUUCAUAGAAUAUGCUAAAAGUAGUAAAGCAUGUCAAUUUUUGGUUCAUAAAUCUGACCAUCCGGAUAUUAAUGAAAAUAUGGUAAUUGAAUCAGAUAAUGCUGAAUUCUUUGAAAAUAUUUACCCGUAUAAACUUAGACAUGAACAAUCUAGUUGAGGAUCUAAACGACCUUGUGAUGAACCAAUUGAGAAUGAACAUAAUGAAGAAAAUCCAAGAUGUAGUACACGUCAAAGAACGGCUACUUCGUUUGGAUUGGAUUUUGUGAGAUUUCUUUUGGAAAAUGAGCCUCAAACAUUUAAGGAAGCGAUGGCAUCUUCGGAUUCAUCCUUUUGGAAAGAGGCAGUCAAUAGUGAGAUAGAUUCAAUCUUAAGCAAACAUACAUAGGAAUUGGUUGAACUUCCUCCCGGAAAUAAACCGUUAGGUUCUAAAUGGAUUUUCAAAAGAAAAAUGAAGGCGGAUGGUACUAUUGACAAAUACAAGGCAAGACUUGUAGUAAAAGACUUCAAACAGAAGGAAGGCCUUGAUUACUUUGAUACAUACUCGCCAGUAACAAGGAUAACCUCGAUUUGAAUGUUAAUUGCCUUGGCGGCGGUAUACGAUCUUCAAAUCCAUCAAAUGAAUGUGAAGACCACAUUCCUAAAUAGAGAUUUGGAGGAAGAAAUAUACAUAGAACAACCCGAGGAUUUGUAGUUCCAGAAAAAGAAAAUAAGGUGUGUAAACUUGUUAAGUCACUUUAUGGACUAAAACAAGCUCCUAAGCCAUGGAAUGCAAAGUUUGACCAAACCAUGUUGGCAAAUGGAUUUAAGAUAAAUGAAUGUGACAAAUGUGUAUAUAUUAAAGACAUACCAAAUCACCAAGUCAUUGUUUGUUUUUAUAUGAAUGAUAUGUUGAUCAUCAACAGAGAUUUGUGACAUAAAUGCAACCAAACGAAUGCUCGAGAGCAAGUUUGAUAUGAAAGACCUUGGAGUUGCAGAUGUGAUCUUAGGUAUAAGAAUCCAUCGAACUCCACAAGGGAUAGCAUUGUAACAGUCUCAUUAUAUCAAAAAAUUACUUGACAAGUUCAAGGAUAUGGAAUUCAGUAUUGCCAAGACUCCAUUGGAUGUGAACUUUGCACUUGAAAAGAAUGAAGGUGAAAGUGACUCACAAUUGGAGUACGCAAGAGUAUUGGGAUGUUUAAUGUAUAUAAUGAAUUGUACACGACCAGGCAUAGCAUGUGCAAUUAGUAAAUUGAGUCGGUACACCAGUAAUCCCAACAAAACUUAUUAGAUGGCAAUGAAAAGAGUUUUGGGGUAUCUUUAAUACACUCAUCGUCUUCCAUUGCCCUGCGAGUGAAAUGGUACUGUCUACUAAUGUGAUUCGUCUUUGAAUGAUAGACUGGGUUCUUCACCAACUGUAUGACACUCUGGAUAUCUUUGUAUAGAAUCUUCUCCAGCUGCUUCUUACCCAAUUCUUCCAGAUAAUCUGCCAACCAUAUAAUCUCCUUUCCCGCUUCAACUAUUGCCACAUACUCAGCCUUAGUAGAUGAAAGAGAAAUGGACUUCUGAAGUCUUGACAUCCAAUUUACUGCUGUACCACCUAUGGUGUAAAUGUAUCCAAAUUUGAUCUUGCUCGAGUCCACAUCUCCACCAAGAUCAGCAUUAAUAAAACCUUGCAAAAUCACCUUGCCAUUGCCAAAACAAAGUAAAGUACUGGAUAUACCUCUCAGAUAUCUUAGAUGCCACUUCACAGCUUCCCAAUGCUCCUUCCCGGGGUUUGCCAUAUACCUGCUAAUAACUCCCACUGUAUGUGCUAUGUCUGGUCUAGUGCAAACCAUAGCAUACAUCAGACUCCCAACUACAAAAGCAUACGGAACAAGUGCCAUGUCCUCCUGCUCCUGAGCUGUCUUCGGUGACUGAUCCUUUGUCAAUUUUAUGCGAUUUGCCAAUGAAGUAGUCCUGGGUUUAGCAUCAUUAACUUUGAAUAUGGCCAACACCUUCUCAACGUACUGCUCUUGGGAUAGAUUCGAAGUUCCAGCAGAUCUAUCCCGAGAAAUCCUCAUCUCAAGAAUCUACUUCACUGCACGUAAAUCUUUCAUCUCAAAUUUAGAAGAUAGAAUUUCCUUCAAAGAGUUUAUCUCCUACAUACUGGAUCCUGCAAUCAACAUAUCAUCCACAUACAAGAGUAAAAAUACAUAAGAAUUAACAUAUUUCUUGAAGUAGCAACACUGAUCCUUUUCACUCCUAUGGAAACCACUCUUGCACAUAAAGGAAUCAAACUUCUUGUACCACUAUCUGGGUACCUGCUUCAGCCCAUACAAGCUUUUGUUAAUCUUGCACACCAUGUGUUCCUUGCCUGGAACUACAAACCCCUCUAGUUGCUGCAUAUAAAUUUCCUUAUCCAAUUCACUAUGUAAAAACACAGUUUUUACAUCCAUUUGCUCAAGAUGCAAAUUCUCUGAUGCAAAAAAUACUCAAUAAAAUUCGGAUAGUAGUUAAUUUCACUACAGGAGAAAAUAUUUCAGCAUAAUUGAUACCUUUCCUUUGUGAAUAUCCUUUAAUAACUAAUCGAGCCUUGAACCUUCUCUUGCCAUCUGUUUCUACCUUGAUUCUGAACACCUACUUGUUCAACAAAGUUUUCUUCCCUGCAGGUAACUCAGUCAACAUCCACGUGUUAUUCUUCUCAAGUGAGCUCAUUUCAUCAUCCAUGGAUUGAUCCCACUUGAUUGAAUCUUCCACCUGCAGGGCCUCAGCAAUAGACUCUGGUUCCCCUUCACCAGUUAGCAACAGAUAGUGUAAUGGUGGUGAAUACCUAUCUGGUGAUCUAAUGGUCCUGGAUGAUCUCCUCCAAACCUGUUCAGGUGUCACUUGCUCCAUCUCUGAUUCUUCAACCACAGUCUCUGGAGUUUGUUGAGUUUCUGCUAAAACAUCUUUAGGUGUAUUCUUCGGCAACUCAAGCUCAACUCCCACUUGCUUUGUAGUAUCUUGAACCUUUUGCUCUCUGUCCUUGUACAUGAAAUUUUCAUCAAAUAUUACAUCAUAAUGUCUUAGGAUUUUCUUGUUCCUGUCAUCCCAAAACCUGUAGCCAAACAUGUCAGAACCAUAACCUAUAAAGUAGCACUUUAUAGCUUUAGCAUCAAGCUUGUGUCUCUUCUCUGGAUCAACAUGAACAUAAGCCGUGCAACCAAAAGUUCUCAAGUGUAAAUACUUGAGUUCAUUUCCCUUCCAUACUUCUUCCGGAAUCUUGAACCCCAGAGGAACUGAUGGACCCUUGUUGAUCAAGUAAGCAGCUGUGCUCACAACAUCUUCCCAAAACGCCUUAGGCAGCCCAGAGUGUAUCCUCAUGCUCCUCUGACGCUCAUUCAAUAUUCUGUUCAUCCUUUUAGUAACUCCAUUCUGCCUUGCCUUCUCAGGAACUGUUCUCAUCAAUAUGAUUACCUCAGCUGCACAGAAUUAUUUGAAUUCUGACUUGUCAUAUUCUCCUCCAUUAUCAGACCUCAUGUCAUGACCUAAACUGGGGCCCUAGUCGUGACGAGUAUUCCAAACUAUGAGGCCUGAAACACCCCUAUCUGUCUGGUAAUUAUGCAUGAAAUUCAUAUGAUGAAAGAAAUGCGGAAGAUACACAAUAUAACGGAAACAUGGUGAAAAAUCACGCAAAAGUAAUAAUGGGGAAUAAUGUCCCACAGUCUCAACUCAAUGAUCUGGCGAAUUAUCAAUGAUUCAUUCUUAGAUUUUCUAAAUGAUGAAGAGAUAAAAAAUUUGCACUAUUCUGAAAUGUUGAUUGUAAUAGUAAUAGUAAUAAGGGGUAAAUCAACUGAGUAUUCAACUUUGAAAAGUCUUUCAAAUUUUUAUAAGAAAGGAACUGAUGUAUACAUAGGGAAAGCCGUGUGCAAUGAAAAGUGCAAGCACGACUUAGGGAGGGAUCUUUACUUGUUUAUUUCAUUUCAGAUUAACAUUGAUUUUAUUUAACAAGGAACUUAUCUACUCCAUCCGACUAGUUCCGGGUUCGAAUCCCAGGCAACCCACUAUCAUAUCAAAAUUCUAAUUCUCUAUAGAGAAGUUCGUAUUUUUCCAAUCAACUUCAAACAAAAUUGGAACAGAUCCACAUACACCUUGGUUGACACGAGUAUAUAAGUCAUGUUAUGCUGUUGAAUAACAAGCCUUCUAUUUUGAUUUGUAGAAAACUCGUGUGCUUGGGAGUCCCUGAUGAAACAAUAAACCAAGAUUUUACCAUAACUGCAAUUUUUAGAGAGAGGAGAAAGCGAACCCAAGCUUAAGGAGCUCUGAUCCCCAAGCCAGCACUUGCUACUCUCUUGUUGGUGAUCGUGUUUGGUAGCUCUUCGGUGUAUCGACAGUCUUCCCGGUUUAGCACUCGAUAGAUCCCGCAAAUAUGCUGCUAAUUUGUGGGUGCCUAUUCUUCGAUCCAAACUGGUGAUUCACCGCAUUCCCUUCUCUAGUCAGGAAUGGAGUCAGGGAUGCCCAACUCAAGAUAAGUCCUAAGGUUCUGUUAAAGUAUCCUUAAUAGCAUCUCUUUCUCUAGAAUCCAGGCUUGUAGAUCUUUGGCGAAUCAACAGGGUUUCUUUCGUAAUUAGGUUGUUCUCCGAACCUUGUUUGUUACUGAGCUGGGUAACUCAAACCCUAUCCCCUUCCUUUCUUAAUAGUAGAUAGAUGUAGAGCUGGAGACUCCCUCGAUAGGGCAUCUCAAUCUGGCUCUCAAUCUAUCGUGUAAGGAACGAAGACCAUAGGCAUAGGGUAAUAGCUCCUUACUUGUAAUUGAGAUAGGGGCUCGUUCGAUACAAAUAUUUCAUUUCGAUCUCCUCCCUCUCUUUUUUCUAUAAAGAAUUCUCAAAAAAAGGAGUCAACCUGUCUAAACUUCUCUAUAAAAGUCUUUUCCUCGCUGCUGGUCUUUAAACUUGCAACUGGUAUCUAAGUCUAAGACAAGAGAUUUUUCUUACUUUUAAGUUUGAUCUUUCGCUAGGAGCCUUAGCAAGAAUGGUUGGAACCGGUCUGACCUAUGAGACUACUCGAAAGGAGGCUUCCUACCAGCACUAGAGUGGGAUAAGUCAACCUUGCCUUAGGUCAAUCCCUUCCCCUACUCGGGCAAGCAACAGACCUUUUUUAACAACCUCUUAUGAUUGAUUCACUUCCUCCAGCAUUGGCUUCCUUCUUACCUAUGAUAUCCCCAAGAGCUAAUUCGAUAGCAGUUGCAUCGGAGCUAGCUUGGAAAGAGAGGAGGCAUCCUUAUCUGAGCCGAUCGUUAGCGUAUUUCUUCUUCUCGAGUGAAGUAGCUUACUCUUGCUCUGUGCGCUAGGGAGUCAGACUAUGCUUAGUUCUCAUUUAUGUUUGUGCUGUGUGAGUUCUAUCUAGGAAGCAAGCACCGCAAAGGGUUGACAGGGCAGCUCGGCUGGUAAAAAAGGAGAUGGUACCAAAGCGGGAGGCUCGUAGAUGCUACUAGUGCAAUGACUAGUCUAAUCUCUUUUCUUUACAUGAACUUUUUUAUUAUGUAAACUCGGUGUGUUAUCUAAGUCUUUUAACUAGUCCAAUGGAAAUCUCCUGUAUUGCAGCAAAAGUCAAAAAAAGGGUACUCGCGCAGCAGCCUGCUUGCCAAAAAUAAAAAUCCUUACUAGCCGAAGUAAGGGACUUUCUUACUCCGCCUACAUAAUGGACAAGGACUUAGUUGACUAUUCUUAGCCUGUUAUUCAAGAAUCUUUCCUCAGAAUGGAUGAUGAAUGGAAGCGAGAUUGGAUUGACGUAUAGAAACUACAACUACAGAUUUGAUCCCUUUCUGUUAGGGAAUCCCGACUAGACGAGGGAGAUAUAAAAGUAACGUUGACGCUACAAAAAACAAAGUCAUUGCAUAAGUAAUGAAUGAGCUAAUUUCUUAUUAGAAGCCUCUUUGACUAGACAGAUCUCCUUUACCGAGGGGUUCCCACAGAGAAGUCUUGCUCUGGCUUGCCAAAAGCCUUUAAUAUUGAGAAUGUUGGAUGUAUUACACACUGGUGGAAUUGUGUAAUAAGGCUUUUCACUAGCUUAGUGAAUUGAUUUAAACUAGUAAAUAGAGUAUGUUUUUGUUGGCAGUGAGUAAAUCUUUGAUUCAGAGGGUGGAAGAUGUUAUGAAUCUGAAGUGGGCUCUUGGCUUAGGUUCACACUUUUUUUUGUCUUUCCUCAAAAAGUCGUUUACAGUCUUCUGUGAGUCCUUACUUAUGGUAGGUAACAGACCCUCGCCAUUGCGAUUAUCAUCCCUAAUCAGAAAGUGUUUUUGUUUGCGCGGGUUUAUCCAGUUGAACAUAGCGCUAACCCAUUCCGCUAUCAUGCUUUUAUUGAAUUCUGCUUUCAGCAGCUAUCCUCCCAGAUGUGGCUCUUCCUGGAAGUGAGAACACUGCUGCCCGACCAAGGAAAUAAGGAGAAGAUUGAAAGGGUUAUGAAUCCCAUUGAGUUAGCCCUACUUGAUCGAAUUAGCCAGUCUCUUCCGUUCCGCCUGUGACCCCUUUAGAAUUCCAAUGUUGCUGGAAGUGGUGUGCUUGAACGUAGAUUGGGAAGUGCGAGAGAGCAGCCCCCGUUCUAACAAAAUUUCCUUCUUUCGCUGUUAAGCAAGUCCCCCUUCUAUUCGGCUGGCUUUCUUAGAAGCUUUUCAAGAUAUACUCUCUCUGUCUAUUGAAAU
rnacentral:lncRNA from 1 species